rnacentral:rRNA from 1 species
CACGGAGGGGGCUAGCGUUGUUCGGAAUGACUGGGCGUAAAGCGCGCGUAGGCGGUUCGGUAAGUUGGAUGUGAAAGCCCGGGGCUCAACUCCGGAUGGGCGUUCAAGACUGCCGAACUUGAGACCGAGAGAGGAGAGUGGAAGUCCCAGUGUAGAGGUGAAAUUCGUAGAUAUUGGGAAGAACACCAGUGGCGAAGGCGGGUCUCUGGCUCGGUUCUGACGCUGAGGUGCGAAAGCGUGGGGAGCAAACAGG